rnacentral:lncRNA from 1 species
GCACACCAAGAUAUCACAACAGCAACAAUUCAAAUUCAAAUUCUGCAAGCAAAGUUACCAAAUUGGUUGAAUUGGCACAAUCUUUUCUCAUAUGGCUUAUAUAUUAUUGGUACCACUAUUUGGUGACAGAAAGACAUUCCAAAAGAAUAAUCAUGAUUAGAGUGAGCCCCAAUAUCAUUGAAUUGUGACCAUCCGAUGCGUGGACCAUUUCCGUUGACCAUCUGAUCUGAUGCCGACUUUAACUUGUGCCAGUCAAUUUAUGAAGGGCUGGAAAUGGUCCUUCAUAUGCAGGGCAUCAUAUCAUGUACAAAUCAAAGUCGUUAGGGAUAAUCAAUUUCUUGGACCACAAGCAAUUAAGGCAUUUU